rnacentral:rRNA from 1 species
GACGUACGCUGGCGGCGUGCUUAACACAUGCAAGGCGAACGGAAAGGCACUGCUUGCUGGGUGCUCGAUUGGGGAACGGGUGAGUAACACGUGGGUGAUCUGCCCCUUACUUUGGGAUAAGCCUGUGAAACUGGGUCUAAUGCUGGAUAGGACUAUGCUGUAGGGGGAGUUGUGGUAGGCUUGGUGUCGGUAAGGGAUGAGCUCGCGGCCGAUCAGCUUGUGUGUGGGGUAAUGGCCUACCAAGGCGGCGACGGGUAGCCGGCCUGAGAGGGUGGACGGCGACAUUGGGACUGAGAUACGGGCCAGAAUCCUACGGGAGGCAGCAGUGGGGAAUAUUGCACAAUGGGCGCAAGCCUGAUGCAGCGACGCCGCGUGGGGGAUGAAGGCCUUCGGGUUGUAAACUCCUUUCAGCCAUGACGAAGCCCUUGUGGUGACGGUAGUGGUAGAAGAAGCACCGGCUAACUACGUG